rnacentral:lncRNA from 1 species
UGUUUGUGUGUUUCUUUCCUUCUCUCUUCGCCUCUUCGUUCUGGCUCUUUUCCUCUUUCUGCGGGGCGCCCCCGGACUUCCUGAGUUGACAGAACGACCAGCCAGAAAAGUCAGGACACGGAGAACUUCGCCCGAGAAAACCAACGCAAUCUACCAGACGUACAGAACCCCCUCCCCGACGACCACAGCGUCCACAGUCUGCUCGAGUGCAGGGUCGGGUCUCCUCUGAAGUUCAGAAUAAUAUAAAAAGGCCCAUCCUUUGUCAGGCUCAGUGGGAGUACCUGUGGAGCAAUGAUAAGGAUUCAGGAAAUAGUUUACGAUUCAAGUGCAUCCUAAAGUUGGAGCAACCCUGGCUAGAAUAUCAUAGAUCCUUGAGUUGGCAGAGACCUUUCACUCUUCAGUAUAUUUAUAUUCAACGCAAAGAUCCUUCCUUCUAUAUCAUCCUUGACAACAGACCACCUAGAUUCUGUGUAAAUAAUUCCGAUGACAAGAAACGCAUUAAAUAAAGAGACCCCUUUGUUUUUAGAGUUUUAAAUGUUU